rfam:Schistosoma rodhaini strain Burundi genome assembly, scaffold: SROB_scaffold0003902
GCACUACUAAGGAGUCUCAUAAUAGGACGAAACGGUCGUCCAGUGC